ensembl:snoRNA
AACUUUGCAGUCCAUGCACGUGAUGACUGGGUGUUCACACACGUGUGAGGUGUACCCACCUCGAACCUUGUUAUGAUGUUGGCACAUUACCUGCCUGACA